UAGGGCUGUAAACGAGCCGAGCCGAGCCGAGUAGUGAGAAGCUCGAGCUCGAGCUCGACUCACAACUCGGGGCUCGAUACUCGGCUCGAGCUCGAUCGAGUUUUAUUUUUCAAGCUCGAGCUCGAUUCGUGAUCGAAUUCGAGCUACUCGAGCUCGCUCGAUUAAGCUCGAUUAAUAUGUAAAAAUAAGCUCGAUUUGUAUACUCGACAAGAGUUCGAUUAUUCAUGCUCGAACUCGAACUCGAACUCGGAUUCGAAAUAUUUUUUUAAUUAAAAAAAAUAAAAAUAUAUUUAAAUAUAAAAGCUCGAUUAGGCUCGCGAGCUACUCGAAUCAGAUAUAAGAAUACUCGAAUUCGGCUCGAUCGAUAAGUCGAGCUACUCGAGCUCGAGCUCGACUCGACAAUAAUCGAACCGAAUUCGAGUUUUUUUCGAAUCGAACCCGAGUA
rnacentral:lncRNA from 1 species